AGCAGCCGCGGUAAUUCCAGCUCCAAUAGCGUAUAUUAAAGUUGUUGCAGUUAAAAAGCUCGUAGUUGAAUUUCGGGGUUAGUAGGUUGGUCAUGCCUCUGGUAUGUACUGGUCUCACUGAUUCCUCCUUCCUGAUGAACCGUAAUGCCAUUAAUUUGGUGUUGCGGGGAAUUUGGACUGUUACUUUGAAAAAUUAGAGUGUUUAAAGCAAGCUAACGCUUGAAUACAUUAGCAUGGAAUAAUGAAAUAGGACGUUCGAUCCUAUUUUGUUGGUUUCUAGGAUUGACGUAAUGAUUAAUAGGGAUAGUUGGGGGCAUUAGUAUUCAAUUGUCAGAGGUGAAAUUCUUGGAUUUAUUGAAGACUAACUACUGCGAAAGCAUUUGCCAAGGAUGUUUUCAUUAAUCAAGAACGAAAGUUAGGGGAUCGAAG
rnacentral:sRNA from 1 species